rnacentral:lncRNA from 1 species
CCUCAAAUUAUCAACCAAGUUUAAUUAAACCCAAUACCACAAGACACAAAAUAGAAACCAAAAUCAAUACUUACAUUAAAAAUAAACUUUUGACUAACACAAACAAUCCAUUGAAAAAUAUUACUUACAGACAUCAUCUUUUCCAGAUGGAAGAUCAGAGUCAGACUCAAAUACUAAAUCAUGAAAGGCAAAAUUUCAGAAUAGUCGAAAAUUGUAUAAACUCAAUAAGGUAACACGCACUCCACUUAUUAUUAGAUCUAAUUAUAAACAACCUAAGUAAACAAUUGAGAUAAAUAUCCAUGAGAGGAAACUUGACACCAAUAAAAACGAGAAUUCUACAUUUAAAUACAUAUAGGGAUGUAAAAAUGCUAAAUAUAACAAUCAUUGUUUUCAUCAAAAGAUAGAUUUGUAUAAAAAAUCGAUCAAACAAGCACUGAGCAUAACUGUCUCUCCAAAUGGAAGCUUCGAUGCACUUUUCUAAUUCAACUUUUUCGUAAUGAUUAGAUGACCCCUGCACAGCAACAGAAACAACAAACACAGGAAAAAAAAAUACAAUAAAAACUCGUGGAAAUAGUGAAUUGGAUUGGGGAAGCCCGCGCGUAUAUCACGGCCCUAAUAAUCAGGCUCUUUCCGCGGGCAGUCUUCAUCGCGGGGAAAAGGAGAGAGAGCGACGCGCGCACAUCUCGGAUUAACCACACAAAGCUGUGGAGGCGGGACGGAAUGCUACCAAAACCCGUAACAAGGGCAGCAUUGCGAUCGCUACAUCAACCGAGGUGGAAAGCAUUGCGAGAUAGGCAGCGGCGACGGCAACAAUCAACCCCGCUCAGAUAAGAUCAAGUAGUUUGAUUUUCGAUUUAGGGUUUGUCUAGUGGUAUUUAUAAAUUCCGAAUUUGGACUUGUUUUAAUAUCCUAAAAAUAAAUGGGCUAUACAAUAGUCCAUUAUCAAAGACAAUGGCUGUUUUAAAAAAUGAUGGAUCGUGCAGUGCAGUGCAGGUCCAAUAGAUUUGAGUUCUUUUCCCAAAAACAACGGAAUCUUGCUUUUGCUAUAGACCUAUAGUAGGAAUUAAUGGUGGAGAUUUACAUAAGAUAAUUAAAUUUCAAUAAUCAAAUGGAAAAUUUCGAGAUCAUAAACUUUUUUUUUUUGAAUAAGUUGUUUUAUAUAUUAACAAAAUAAAAUAAAAUCUACAAAAAUUCAACACACAAAAAUAAUUGAUUUAAAUAUAGUCAUACUUACUUUCUACAGUUCUACUUACUCUCUAUCUAAGAAGACGGGUUUGUUCGACAGUUAAUCAAUCUUAACUUAAACCCUGUUGUGAAUACCAUUGAUACAAUGCCCUCUCUUCCACGUUUCUCUUGUGUGACUUUUUAAAUUUAUUUUUCUUGAAAUCGAUUUUCGUCGAUGUGAUUCAUUCCUUUAUGAUCAUUUCCUAAAAGAAGUAUCAUAAACUAGGGCUGAUCAUAUAUCUGAUACCCAUGGACCAUGAUGAGCCUUAGAUGAGAAUGUAAAAAUAUCUUAAAGACUUACUCAUAUUUAAUAUCUCACAAGAAUAUUUAAUAUGUUGUUUAAGAAUAUUAAUUGCUUGAGUUAUUAACAAAGUGAAAGAUAUCUUCUGAAUUGUGUGUGACCUUUUAUUACUUGUCUCUUUAAUACAGCGCAACUUCUUGUCUUGUGGAAGUAAUGUGUUAUCGAAAAAUCAAAGUAAAGAAUUAAACAAGUAUUAUUUUUCAUCGGAAAGACUUAAAAGUCAAUAUUGCCAGUGUCGACCUCUUCUUUAACAUCAACUUCAAUAGAAAAAAUAAUAAUAUUCAAAAACCAAAGGGAAUUUUCCAUUGUCUUUCUCUGUAAUUAUUGCGUCAAAUGCAAACGUGACCAACCUGUCUUUUUCUAACUUGUUUCAACAAAAUUAAUUUAACUGCUUCAAAAAUAAAUAUUUUCG